CGGACGGGUGAGUAACACGUGGAUAACCUACCUAUAAGACUGGGAUAACUUCGGGAAACCGGAGCUAAUACCGGAUAAUAUAUUGAACCGCAUGGUUCAAUGGUGAAAGACGGUUUUGCUGUCACUUAUAGAUGGAUCCGCGCCGCAUUAGCUAGUUGGUAAGGUAACGGCUUACCAAGGCAACGAUGCGUAGCCGACCUGAGAGGGUGAUCGGCCACACUGGAACUGAGACACGGUCCAGACUCCUACGGGAGGCAGCAGAU
rnacentral:rRNA from 1 species